rnacentral:rRNA from 1 species
AACGAACGCUGGCGGCAGGCUUAACACAUGCAAGUCGAACGGGUGCAGCAAUGCAUCAGUGGCAGACGGGUGAGUAACACGUGGGAACCUUCCUCGGGGUACGGAACAACUCAGGGAAACUUGAGCUAAUACCGUAUACGUCCGUGAGGAGAAAGAUUUAUCGCCCUGAGACGGGCCCGCGUCGGAUUAGCUAGUUGGUGGGGUAACGGCCUACCAAGGCGACGAUCCGUAGCUGAUCUUAGAGGAUGAUCAGCCACACUGGGACUGAGACACGGCCCAGACUCCUACGGGAGGCAGCAGUGGGGAAUCUUGGACAAUGGGCGCAAGCCUGAUCCAGCCAUGCCGCGUGAGUGAAGAAGGUCUUCGGAUUGUAAAGCUCUUUUGCCAGGGACGAUAAUGACGGUACCUGGAGAAUAAGCCCCGGCAAACUUCGUGCCAGCCGCCGCCGUAA